AUUGAACGCUGGCGGCAGGCCUAACACAUGCAAGUCGAGCGAGCGGCGGCCGGGUGAGUAAUGUCUGGGAAACUGCCGGAUGGAGGGGGAUAACUACUGGAAACGGUAGCUAAUACCGCAUACCAUAAGAUGAGCCCAGGUGGGAUUAGCUAGUAGGUUGGGUAACGGCUCACCUAGGCGACGAUCCCUAGCUGGUCUGAGAGUAUGACCAGCCCCACUGGAACUGAGACACGGUCCAGACUCCGACGGGAGGCAGCAGUGGGGAAUAUUGCACCAUGGGCGCAAGCCUGUGGCAGCCAUGCCGCUUGUGUGAAGAAGGCCUUCGGGUUGUAAAGCACUUUCAGCGGGGAGGCGUUACCCGCAGAAGAAGCACCGGCUAACUCCGUGCCAGCAGCCGCGGUAAUUC
rnacentral:rRNA from 1 species